AUUGAACGCUGGCGGCAUGCCUUACACAUGCAAGUCGAACGGCAGCACGGGAGCAAUCCUGGUGGCGAGUGGCGAACGGGUGAGUAAUAUAUCGGAACGUGCCCAGUCGUGGGGAUAACGUAGCGAAAGCUACGCUAAUACCGCAUACGAUCUAUGGAUGAAAGCGGGGGAUCGCAAGACCUCGCGCGAUUGGAGCGGCCGAUAUCAGAUUAGGUAGUUGGUGAGGUAAAGGCUCACCAAGCCGACGAUCUGUAGCUGGUCUGAGAGGACGACCAGCCACACUGGGACUGAGACACGGCCCAGACUCCUACGGGAGGCAGCAGUGGGGAAUUUUGGACAAUGGGCGCAAGCCUGAUCCAGCAAUGCCGCGUGCAGGGUGAAGGCCCUCGGGUUGUAAACUGCUUUUGUACGGAACGAAACGGCGAGCUCUAAUACAGUUUGCUAAUGACGGUACCGUAAGAAUAAGCACCGGCUAACUACGUGCCAGCCGCCGCGGUAA
rnacentral:rRNA from 1 species